AACUCGAUAAUCCACGUAUACCAAACCUUCUCUCGAUAUACAGCAUGUGUACUGCCGUUGUAAGCAUACCUCUAAAAGAUAAGUAUGCUACUAUGAUUAUAACUCACAUACAUCAGGUCAAAGUGCAGCUAAUAAGAAGGUGAUGAUGGGUUACAACCCUAAAACAGAAUAUCAACUAAGAAAUUAAAAAUCUUACGAAAGUGGACUUGGCCGUAAUCAAUUAUAAUUUAAAGAAAUGAAUAAUAUCUAAGACAUGCACACAUCGCCCGUCACUCUAUCCUAAAGGUUAGAUAAGUCGUAACAAAGUAGGUGUAAUGGAAAUUGUACCUGUCGAAGUAUAGCAUAUAUAAUGCUUUUUACUUACACUAAAAAUAAAGUUACCAACUUACUUCGCACAAAGAUAAUAACCCUAAAUUUAUACAGUAAUAAUAUGAAUAACUAAAUAAACAACUAAAUAGUACAGAAAUGGAAAUAAUAAUAAAUAAAAGUAAAUUUUAACAAAUGUACCUUGUGCAUUAUGGUUUUACAAGAAAAAAUUAAACACAUAUUUCCCGAAUUCUAAAUGAGAUGUUAAACUGCUGUCAUGAACCCACUAAUAGCUGUAGAAAAAGCUUUAAAAGACAGAUUAACAGAGGCCACAUACCAUCCGCAUAAGAAUAUAGCUGGUUUUCAACAAAAAUUAUACAUUAAAACAUAUAAUAUAUAUUAUAAUGUAAUAUUAUUGAGGAUAAGCCCAAUAAUAAGAGCAAUUAAUAAUUAUACUAAAUCAUAUAAUAGGCCUAAAACCAGCCAAUAAAAACACUUUACCGUAAGAGAUACAGACAUAAUAUAUACCACUACUAUGCACAAUAAAGUUGAAAUAUUGGGAAAACUAUUUUCCAAAAUAUAUAAUGUAAAAAUCAGUAUUAUAAAUAUAUAGCAUAAUAUACCUAGAAAAAACACCAAAUAUAUGACAAUAAUUAAUUAAGGAACUCGGCAAACCACUAUUUCGACUGUUUAACAAAAACAUUGUCUUAUGAAAUAUAAUAUAAGAUAAUACCUGC
rnacentral:rRNA from 1 species